GUGCUAGCUUCGGCAGCACGUAUACUAAAACUGGAACAAUACUGAGAAGAUUAGCAUGGCCGCAGCAUAAGGAUGACACGCAAAUUCAUGAAGCAUUCCAUAUUUUU
rfam:Tupaia chinensis contig47684, whole genome shotgun sequence.